rnacentral:rRNA from 1 species
AUUGAACGCUGGCGGCAUGCCUUACACAUGCAAGUCGAACGGUAACGCGGGGCAACCCGGCGACGAGUGGCGAACGGGUGAGUAAUGUAUCGGAACGUGCCCAGUUGUGGGGGAUAACUGCUCGAAAGAGCAGCUAAUACCGCAUACGACCUGAGGGUGAAAGCGGGGGAUCGCAAGACCUCGCGCAAUUGGAGCGGCCGAUAUCAGAUUAGGUAGUUGGUGGGGUAAAGGCCCACCAAGCCAACGAUCUGUAGCUGGUCUGAGAGGACGACCAGCCACACUGGGAUUGAGACACGGCCCAGACUCCUACGGGAGGCAGCAGUGGGGAAUUUUGGACAAUGGACGCAAGUCUGAUCCAGCCAUGCCGCGUGCGGGAAGAAGGCCUUCGGGUUGUAAACCGCUUUUGUCAGGGAAGAAAAGGGCGACUCUAAUACAGUUGCCUCAUGACGGUACCUGAAGAAUAAGCACCGGCUAACUACGUGCCAGCAGCCGCCGUAAGAC